rnacentral:rRNA from 1 species
AAGUCGUAACAAGGUUUCCGUAGGUGAACCUGCGGAAGGAUCAUUACCGUUUGUCUCAUAUGACAAAAACCCACUGUGCAUUGUAUUGAGCUUGCGGGGUAACCACUUGUAUGGUUUUAAAUGAAGGCAGCGCUGCUUUUAGCCCCGUUAGCGCAUUCAUCCAUAUUUUUUAACACACUUUGUACUGAUUUCCAGUAUUGUUGAUUUCUCUGUAUGAUAUAUCAUUGAGAAUGAACACAAAAACACUUGACAACUUCUAACGGUGGAUCUCUUGGCUCGUGCAUCGAUGAAGAACGUAGCCAGUUGCGAUAAGUAGUGUGAAUUGCAGAAUUCAGUGAAUCAUCGAAUCUUUGAACGCAAAUUGCGCUCUCUGGAACUCCAGGGAGCAUGCCUGUCUGAGCGUCGUGUAAAACCCACACACUCCGGUGUGGCAAGGAAGCUACCAAAUGCUUACUAUUUUGGUUCAUGCAUUUGGCUUCUUAUGUAUCUGAACUCGAUUACAAUCAUUUUUCGAUGUUGUUGUCGGAAGGCUUAACUAGCUUCUGUCCUUUCACAAUCGACUGAAAUUUGAUGUGAUUAUUGGAGUUUUUGAGACAUCCUAGGAUGGACUGAAACUUUGACCUCAGAUCAGACAAGACUACCCGCUGAAUUUAAGCAUAUCAAUAAGCGGAGGA